rnacentral:rRNA from 1 species
GGAGUUAGCCGGUGCUUCUUCUGCGAGUAACGUCACAGAUGUAAGGUAUUAACUUACACCCUUUCCUCCUCGCUGAAAGUGCUUUACAACCCGAAGGCCUUCUUCACACACGCGGCAUGGCUGCAUCAGGGUUUCCCCCAUUGUGCAAUAUUCCCCACUGCUGCCUCCCGUAGGAGUCUGGGCCGUGUCUCAGUCCCAGUGUGGCUGAUCAUCCUCUCAGACCAGCUAGGGAUCGUCGCCUAGGUGAGCCUUUACCUCACCUACUAGCUAAUCCCACCUGGGCUUAUCCAUCAGCGCAAGGCCCGAAGGUCCCCUGCUUUCCCCCGUAGGGCGUACUGCGGUAUUAGCAGUCGUUUCCAACUGUUAUCCCCCACAAAUGGGCAAAUUCCCAGGCAUUACUCACCCGUCCGCCGCUCGUCAUCUUCAAAAGCAAGCUUUUGAAAUGUUACCGCUCGACUUGCAUGUGUUAGGCCUGCCGCCAGCGUUCAAUCUGAGCCAGGAUCAAACUCUGA